UACAGAGGUCUCAAGCGUUGUUCGGAUUCAUUGGGCGUAAAGGGCGCGUAGGCUGCGGGGUAAGUCGGGUGUGAAAUCUCAGAGCUCAACUCUGAAAUUGCACUUGAUACUGCUCUGCUAGAGGACUGGAGAGGAGAUUGGAAUUCACGGUGUAGCAGUGAAAUGCGCAGAUAUCAGGAGGAACACCAAUGGCGAAGGCAGCACUCUGGGACGUGACUGACGCUGAGACGCGAAAGCGUGGGGAGCAAACAGG
rnacentral:rRNA from 1 species